AGAGGCCGGAGGAGGAGCUGAGCAGACGGCGCAGCAGGUUUCACUCACUCAGACCAAGGCGCCAUUAGUGCCUGUGUCCCCCCCACCCCCACCCCCCGGCGUCUGUCAAUCAAGCGGCAGCGGGGGCGGGGCGUGAAGGACAGGGCAGGGCGGGGCGGCGCUUCCGCUGCGCGAGGCCGCUCGGGGUCGCUCGCGGGAGCUAGGCGCAGUCGGGAAUCCGGCGGGCCGCGCGACCAGAUGAAGGGCGCGAUGGAGCCGGAGCCCGAGGUGCUGCUUCAGGAAGCCCGCGAGAACGUGGAGGCGGCGCAGAGCUACCGGCGGGAGCUGGGCCAGCGGCUGCAGGGGCUGCGGGAGGCGCAGAGGCAGAUAAAGGAGAGUGCUUCACAGACAAGAGAUGUCCUCAAACAGCAUUUUAGUGAUUUAAAAGGAACCCUUGGGAAGCUAUUGGAUGAGCGAUUGGUGACCCUUUUGCAAGAGGUGGACACCAUUGAACAGGAGACCAUCAAACCACUAGAUGACUGCCAGAAACUCAUAGAGCAUGGGGUCAACACUGCAGAUGACCUGGUCCGAGAAGGUGAGAUUGCCAUUCUUGGUGGUAUCGAAGAAGAGAGUGAUAAACUGUGGAACUUUACCAAAAAGGCCUCACACAUUCAGCUGGACAGCUUACCAGAAGUGCCCUUGCUAGUUGAUGUACCCUGUUUGUCGGCUCAGUUGGACGAUUCCAUUCUUAACAUAGUGAAAGACCACAUUUUUAAGCAUGGAACAGUAGCUUCCCGCCCACCAGUACAGAUUGAAGAAUUAAUAGAGAAACCUGGAGGCAUCAUAGUGCGAUGGUGUAAGGUGGAUGAUGACUUCACAGCCCAAGAUUACAGGCUUCAGUUCCGCAAAUGUACUGCAAAUCAUUUUGAAGACGUGUAUGUAGGUUCUGAAACGGAGUUCAUAGUGUUGCACAUAGACCCCAAUGUAGAUUAUCAAUUCAGAGUCUGCGCCCGAGGAGACGGCAGGCAGGAAUGGAGUCCUUGGAGUGUUCCCCAGACAGGCCACUCCACACUGGUGCCUCAUGAGUGGACAACUGGCUUUGAGGGAUACAGUCUGAGCAGUCGAAGAAAUAUAGCCCUCCGGAAUGAUGCCGAGUCCUCGGGUGUUCUCUACUCCAGCGCUCCAACCUACUUCUGUGGGCAGACGCUGACAUUCAGGUUCUAGAUUUCCAAUCCCAUUCUGGGCUGUGACCAGUGUCUUUAUUAGAACCCUGAGCAUCUUACCAACCUCAUAUGGUAGGGAUUUUUGUCUGUUCUGUUUUCUUGUGUGAGGCGUGGGAGAACAUCUGGAAGUUUUGUCUGAGCUAGUGUUGCUGUGUUCCCCUUCAGCCACAUCAUUUGAACUGACCCCACUGUCAGGAUGGUUAAUGCUUUGUCUUUCUUUUGACACCUCCUCUUACCCACUAAGUCGUAAAGAAAGAAUGAAUCACCAGAAGAAUGCCAAGAGAGGAGAAAAAUGAGUCUGUUAGCUUUCCACUUCUACAAAUAAGCACUUGAGAUAAUGGGCUCACAGAGAAGAGGGCCGUCCCUGCUCACCUCCAGUACUGUAGCCUGUGACAAGUCGGCUCCAUUUCUGUGGGCUCGUGUCAGCUGUUAGGUGGCAGGAUUUUCUCCCUAACAGGGCCUGCUGAGGACCAAACCAUUGAUACUUGUGCCUCUCAGGAGCAUGGAAAUAAUUCUAUAUCUAAUUAUGGCAGAACCUGAAACCCAAAACCUGCUUAUGCCCCACGUAGUGACUUUUCUUUGUAGAGAAAUACCUUCAUUAGUGAAAUUCCUGAAACCCAGGUACUUCUGCACAGCAGCAGACCUCCUACAACCUGUAGAUAGAGGCUGGCUAGAGUGCCAAUGAGAAUGACGAUAAAUAAAUUAUUGCAGUUGCUAUCUAAAUCUGGGCCAAGGGCUAGUGCGUGUGGUUUCAUGUACCCAGGCUGAGUAGCUGGGGAAAGCCUUGGACUUCCACUUCCCAAGAGCAGAUAUAAGAGCUGUGCACUACUCCACUGGCUUAUUGGUGCUGAGGACUGAACCCAGGGCUUGGUAAAUGCAAGGCAAGCACUCUGCUGCCUGAGCUGCGAAGCAAACUUCAUUGUUGUCUUACAGUAACCAAUUUGAUGAGUGUAGUUGACCAUUUUAGGAGGGAGAAAAUUGAGGCACAAAGAAGUUUAUUAUUCAGUGUCUCACAGCUAGUAAGUACCAAAGCUGAGACUGAAGUCCGGGAGCUGUCUCCAGAAUCCAGUGGUUAUGCCUGCCUCGGCCUGCUGAGUGGGAGAGCUGUGCACUAACGACCACACCCAGGGCCGUCUUAGCCACUGGCCAUUUCGUCUGUCUCUGCUGUCUUCUGUGAGGAAGGAAGUGUGAAGGCUGCAGUGCCGCUGGUGUUGGUGUUGGUGUUGGUGCUGUAGCUGCACGUCAGGCCUGGGGCAUGUAAAGCAUUUGUUCUUCCACGGGGCUGCCCCCUUCCCUUUCCGAUUUUAGUAUCUUUUCCUCUCUGUAUUUCUUGAUCCUAAUGCUGUCUUAUGGUUUCGAUUCCCUCUGUGGAUACAAAGGAAUAUUUGAUUGAUGGCUUCCAUACUUGUCAGCGAUAUAGACUGAUAGGACCUCACGGCCUACUAUCUGCUGACGGGUCUGACAGCAGGCUUAAUCAAACUCUCUCUGUCUUCGCCCAGAGAAGUCUCACUUGGGCCUCUCUGGGCAGGGUGAUUAACUAAGACUCCAUUCUGCUCAGUCUCAGGCAGACUUUGCAUGGUUGUCAUUGAAUGUGAACUAAGAGUCUCCUACCCGUGUUCAAAGGGUAAACCUGGAGGUAAGUGGGGGUCGGGGCAGCUGAGUGUGGCUGAACGAGGGGCUUCUGAAGGACCUGCUCUUUAGGAGGGCGCUGUACACUCCCAGGCACUCCUCUUGUUUAGCCAGCUUGUCUUUGCUGUGGCUUCUGGAUGGCUUGCAGGUAUGGGAACCUUUUGGCACUGUGACUUGGUGUUGUCAUCUAGAAAAUGUGCACUUAAGGACUGAACAGUGCCAUUAUAGGAGGGUGGGGAGUACCAGGUUUUUUUUUUUAAGUCUAAAUAUUUUAAAUAAGUAUGCAAUUCUGUGUUGGGAUAAAUUCAUAAUUACCCUUGGCUGCGUGACUGUGGGCACGGCUUGGACAUGCUUGGUAGAACCUCUGAAGCAAUGAGGCCUUGUUUCUGGCUGAAUGCUUAGCCUCUCUGCCAUGGUGCCUGAGUCUGCUGACGGCCCUUCUCCGGACCUCUCCCAUCUCCUGGCUGAACAUUCCUGUUUUCUUUGCCUGCUUUUAACUUUUCCUGGCAUCAUCAAUUUACUUUUUAGUUAUGUGUGUCUGUGUGCAUCUGCCAUGUGAGUGCAGGUGCCCUCAGAGGCCAGUUGAUCCCCAGGGGCUGCAGUUACAGGCAACAACAGUACAUGUUCUUACCCCUGAGCCAUCUCUCCAGCCCCUUAUUAAUUUUUAAACUGUAUGGUAACCUCUUUUCUGUCAUCUGUUUCUUAGUUUGUUUUGAGAUGGGGUCUAGUGUAUCCCAGGCUGGCCUCAAACUCACUAUAAAGCCGAGAAUGACCUUAAACUGCUGAUCUCCUUGCGUCCACCUCCCUACUGCAGAGCCUGUGGGCAUGCGCACUCUCCUUUUAUGCUGAGCUACCAAACCGAGCCCCACCACCUGUUUUUUUAAAGCAGCUUCCUUUUUUAAGUUAAGAAACAAAAGCACACGGGGAUCGUAUGUCAGGCUUCAAAUCUUAGAAGUGUAGAGUUACCCCAGGUUGUGUGCUCAGUGCUGUCUACUCAUCCUGCUGUCACAGUUUGCCUUCUGUUGCUGGGAUAAAACACUGACUAAAAGCAACCUGGGAAGAAGGAUUUAUUGCAUCUUACAGGUCACAGUCCCUCACCGAGGGAAGCCAGGGCAGGAGGUGAGAGGAACCCUGGAAUCGGGAACUGAAGCAGAAGAGAUAGAGGAAGGCUACUCACUGUCUUCCUCUGGCCUGCUUAGCUACCCGUCUUGUAUACCCCGCACCCACCUGCUAAGGAGUGGUAUAGCUCACAGUGGGCUGGGCACUUCACCAGUCGCAACUUAAACAAACAGGCAGCCGUUCACUUGUGUUUUGAAACAGGUUCUCACUGUGGUAUUCUGGUUGGCUAAGAAUUUAAUAUGUGGGCUGGAGAGAUGGCUCAGUGGCUAAGAGCACUGACUGCUCUUCCGAAGGUCCCAAGUUCAAAUCCCAGCAACCACAUGGUGGCUUACAACCACCUGUAAUGGGAUCUGAUUACCUCUUCUGAUGUGUCUGAAGUCAGCUACAGUGUACUUACAUAUAAUAAAUAAAUAAACAAACAAACAAACAAACAAACAAACAAACAAAUAAGAAUUUAAUAUGUGCCCAUUCCGGUCUGGGACUUGCAGCAACCCUCUUUUCCCUGUGCCUGGGUGCUAGUAUCAUGGCAGUACUCCCACCCCCAGAGGUUAAUAGCUGUGAGCUAUGUGAAUUUGCUUCAGUGCUUGCUUUGGUGCCUCCUCCAUUCCCCACCCCCAGCAUCCCACAAUAAGGGUCUUAGUUUAUAGCCUAGGCUAGUCUGGGUGGAAUUCACUGUGUAUCCCAGGCUGGCUUUAGAUUUUCAGCAAUCCUAUUUUUGCCUUCUUGGUGCCAAGAUUACAUGUGUCACCAUACCUGGCUUGCUUUAUUUAUUAUUAUUAUUGCUUAUGUGUGUAUACACAUAUGCAUAUUUUGAUUUGUAUGUGUGCCUUAUCAUGAGUGUAGGUGCACUCAUCGUAGCAUGCGUGGGAAGGUCGGAUGACUUUCAGGAGUGUGUUCUCAGCUUCCACAGGUGAGUUCUGUGGACCAAGCUCAGGUUGUCAGAGUUGUAACAAGCUUUUUACCCACUGAGCCUUCUCUCAGUUCCUUGGCUUUUUUUGGGUUUUUGUUUUGCUUUUUUGUUUGUUUGUUUGUUUGUUUGUUUCUGAGACAACCUUGUUAUGUAGCCCAGGAUGACCUUGGACUCUUAACUGCUAGGAUUACAAGUAUUCACCAAAUGAGCUGGGCAGUGAUGGUGCACACCUUUAAUCCUAGCACUCCAGAGGCAAAGGUGGGUUGACCUCUGAGUGUGAGGACAGCCUGCUCUACAGGGCAAGCAGCCAGGGCUACACAGAGAAACCCUCUGUCUUGGGGAAGGAAACAAAAGAAAAUGUGCACCAACCAUGCCUGGCUUUUUCUUCUGUCUACUAAGGACCGAACCUGGGCCUUUCAUACGCAGGCAAGGCCUUUGCCACUGAGCUACACCCUUACUGUGUUUCCUUUCUACUAAGUAUUAACAUUUUUAUCAUUUCUGAAUGAAUUUAAGCUCAAAGAGAUCCUUAUUUCCUGUACAGAGUUCAUUUCUGCCAUUACCAGGUAUAUCUUGUUAGUUUCUUAUAUUCAAAAAGUAGUCUAGGCUGGGGUACACUCAGUGGCACUGUGUGCAGUUAGCAUACAGAAAGCUAAGUUCAGUCCCUGGCACCAAACAAAAUACACAAAACCGACAGCACAAUUAAAUCUUUCCUAGAAAAGCCCUGUGGAGAAGCUGCUACGGGAGGUGUUUUUAUAUAGGGGUAGGAUGUGUCCCUUGGUAGGCUGCCCUUGCUCCACUUGAUGGCCCCACACCAGGGCAGCAUUAAUUGGAUUCUGGGCUAUAAGAGAAAAGGCAUGAGAGGGGCGUAUUGGAGGGUAGGAUUGGGAGGAGCUGGAGGCAUGAGGGAAGAUGGGUAUUAGUAAAACAUGUUUUAGUCCUGUAUGAAACUUUCAAAGAUACAUAAAAACACUAUUUUUUAAAGCCUGGUGUUUGAGUCAGGCACAGCAUGGAUGAUUAUCCCUCUGAGCACCAGAGAGGCUGGGCCAGGAGCUUCAUGGGUUCAAGGGCAUGUCAGGCUCCAUAAGUGAGACUGUCUCAACAGGGAACAGAAAUGAAGUUAAUUUGUUUUUAACUAGGAUCUUUGAACCUUGUAUGCUCCUCCAUAUGCUGUGUGGAGAGACUGCAUAGUCCCAGGGAGAGUGCAGCUGGGCUAGGGCUCUGUGGUUUUGCUACCAGGGAACCCCUAGAGGUGCAGCAGCCCUGUGAAACAGGCUCAUAUUACAGAUAUGGGUAAUGUCACCCAGAGGAAUUCUCUCCGACACACUCUUAUUAUAGUGUGGGGGAGAUAAGCUGAGAACUUGCCAGGAGUCGCUCCCUGGCUUUUAAUUUGUUUGCAUGGGUAGGAUUACAUGAAGUCACUGGGCAUUCCUGCCUUGGGUAUUCAUGCACAGUCCUGGUUAUGACAGAAUUAAUAGGCCUUUUUCUCUGUGUUUUUCUUUAAAAAAAAAAAAAAGAUUUAUUUAUUUUAUUUAUAUGAGUACACUGUUGCUGUCUUCAGACACACCAGAAGAGGGCAUUGGAUCCCAUUACAGAUGAUUGUGAGCUACUAUGUGGUUGCUGGGAAUUGAACUCAGGACUUCUGGAAGAGCAGUCAGUGCUCUCAACCACUGAGCCAUCUCUGCAGCCCCUUCUCUGUGUUUCUUAAUAUCACUUUUCUAAAAUGGAAAGUCAGUUCUCUUGAUUGACUGCAGUAGUUGUUUGUUUCUGUGUAAACUACAUCAGGCAUUGGUCUCUUCUCCCACUGUGGGCAUACAGCAUUGGGUAUCAUAGGGAAUCUGGGUUUAAGAAAAAGAAGAAAUGCCAGGCGUGGCACCUUAUAGCUAGUACUUGGGAGGGUGAUGCAGGAAGACACCAAAAAUUCAAAGCCAGGGAGGCUACAUAGUAAGUUUCAAGUCAUCUUGGGCUACACUGUGAGACCUUAUCUUUAUAAAGAACUAUGAGAUGCCCAGUGGUGGUGGCACACGCCUUUAAUCCCAGCACUCGGAAGGCAGAAGCAGGUGGAUUUCUGAGUUUGAGGCCAGCCUGGUCUACAAAGUGAGUUCCAGGACAGCCAGGACUAUACAGAGAAACCCUGUCUCAAAACCACCCCCCCCCCAAAAAAAAAAGCCUCAGUUUGAAUGCCCAGGAUACACAUGAGAACCAGACAUGCCGUGUGAAUCUCUGUGAUCCCAGUGUCUUAGUUAGAGUGACUGUGCUGUGAUGACUAAAAGCAACUUGGGGAGGAGCGGGUUUAUUUCACUCACAGUUCCUUGUAGCCGUUCACCAUCAAAAGCAGUGAGGGCAGGAGCUCAAACAGGGCAGGAACCUGGGGGCAGAAGCCGUGGCCGGGGCUGCUUUACUCACUUGCUAAGCCUGUUUCUUACAGAAGUGAAGCUGAGUAUGGCAUCACCCGCUAAUUAAAGAAAUGCCCUGCAGGCAGAUCUUAUGGAGGCAUUUUCUCAAAUUGAGGUUCCCUCCUUUUAGGUAACUCUAGCUCAUAUCAAGUUGACAUAAAAGUAGCCGACAUGCCCAGUGUCCCUAUGAGGAGAUGGGAGGGGGAGACAGUAGAAGCCCUGGAAGCUUUCAGGUCAGAUAGUCUCCUACACACACACACACCACACAGAGGGGAGUGGUGCAGGAGGGACAGGUAAGGGAUGGGGGGAAAAAAAACAACCACAAAGUAGCAAAGACUGUGUCCUGAAAUACCAGCAUGUACUCCUAACCACGGAACCAUCUUGCCCAUCCCAUGUUACAUUUAAAAAGAGGAAAACAGUGAGAUGACCUUUUUACUUCAAUGACAGAGUUGAAACUGUGGGACAGCCAGACCGAAGAGACAGUAUAGGAGUAUGUGCAGAAAGGCAGAAUGGCUACGAAUCUCUGCAGCGGGACCAAGCCGUGUGCAUCAGCACGAAUGGUGCAGUCUUUGUCAAUGGAAAAGAAAUGACCAAUCAGUUGCCUGCAGUUACCUCUGGCUCCACUGUCACAUUUGAUAUCGAAGCUGUGACUCUAGGAACUUCUAACAGCCAUGAAGGUGGGAACGCCAAGCUCCGAGUGACCAUCAGCUCCAAUAACCGGGAGGUGGUGUUUGACUGGCUGCUCGAGCAGGCCUGUGGCCCUCUUUACUUCGGAUGCUCGUUUUUCUACCCUGGAUGGAAAGUGCUGGUAUUUUAGCAUUUGAAGGGCUUGGCUUUGAUGUGAGGGUUUGCUGUUUCUGUCCUCAGUUUAGUUGUCUCUGACUUUGAAAAGGUGAGCUUACCUCUCUGUCCACCGGAAAUUAAAAAUGUUUCUGGGUUCACCUUGUAAGGUUUCAGUAAGAAGUGAGCUGAGUGAUGUGGACAAAACCAUAGCUCAGUUUUGUUUUGAAGUACAAAUAUCAAACUAGCUUUAAAAGUCUGCAUACUUUUUCCACUGUUCUUCCUGAAGUUGGUUGUUAGAACAGAAAAUGUCACAUUAGUAAGUCUUCAUCAAGAUUGAAGGCCAGAAGUAAACACAGAAGACAGCGAGAGGCCAGGCUCCUCGGUGCUUGUCCAGUCCUGAGUGUUCACCCUCUCCACGUCCCCCUCCGGGAGUGUCUGGGUCUGAGCCAGCAUCUGUGACAGCCAGUGUUAGCAUCUUUUUACUGGAGUGUGACACAGAGAGGGCAGAGGUCUGCAUUCCUCAAGGUGAAGCUACUUUUGGAAGAACACAGCAGUGUUAGCAGGUCACGUGUGCACAGCAGGCCCCAUGCAUCUUUCCUCAGCCGUGCACACGGGCUGUGUGCAGUGUUAUAGUCAGUGUGAUGUCAGGUUGAGAACUGGUCUUUUAGUGGACCAAGGAAAUAAAGGAUAAAUACUUGACCUAUUUUUUUUAAACUUAAAUUUCUGUAAAAUAUUUAUUUGACUUACUUAAUAUGUAAAAAAAUCGUGGUCUUGUUAUACCAGCAUACAUAUAAUUUUUAAUGUGAAUUUUUGUUUGUUUUUUAUCAAUAGUAAAAAAAAAAAGUGGAAAAGCAAGUGUGGUAUUUUUGUAAGAUAAUUUAUUUGGGGAUUCAUGUUCCCUUUCGACAAUCAUGACUUUUCCUCCCGUUUUAUGUAUAAGUAAGUGCCCUUCUCAUGUUAGAGGUUCUAGAGUGCCGUAUCCAGCCUUAUGAAACAAAAUAAAAAAUGAAAAAUUAA